CUCGGAAUUUGGUCAUCAACUGGC
rnacentral:miRNA from 1 species